rnacentral:rRNA from 1 species
UACGUAGGGUGCAAGCGUUGUCCGGAAUUAUUGGGCGUAAAGAGCUCGUAGGCGGUUUGUCGCGUCUGCUGUGAAAUCCCAGGGCUUAACCCUGGGCCUGCAGUGGGUACGGGCAAACUAGAGUGCGGUAGGGGAGAUCGGAAUUCCUGGUGUAGCGGUGAAAUUCGUAGAUAUCGGGAGGAACACCGGUGGCGAAGGCGGCGAUCUGGGUAGAUACUGACGCUGAGGUGCGAAAGCGUGGGGAGCAAACAGG